AGCAAUUUUAGGGGGGGAUGUUAUGGGAAUAAGUAUAUGAUGUUAAAUAUUAAAAAAGAAAAAAAAAAGAAAAAAAGGAAAGAAGUUCCUUCAAAAAAAGAAAUAUAGUUUUGGAUUUUUUUGUCCAUAAUAUAAUUUCUUAAAACAAAAACAAACCAAAUGGCACCCUCUUCCGGUAAUUCCUCGUCAGAGAAUUGCUGCCAAAGUAUCAUGCACCCAAAUUCUUGCUCCUGGGUAGACAGGCAUCACACAAACACAGACGUAACCUAAAUCUAUUCGAAUUAAUUAUCCAGGUAUCAAGAUACAGAGGAGUACCAGCUUGAGCCACUAAUUUUUUUUAAUCUUACCCUCCUCUCACCGUUCUAGUGAUAAGUUUGGGAGACGGACCCAAACCUUAGCCUUCGUGAUAGCAUCGCGGAUCGAGCGAAACCCUGGCCGCCAUUGUUCCAAGGCUAGGAUUUGGCCAGCCAACGACCACGGUCCCUGAUCCAGGACUCGCGCCUUUUUCUCCUCAGAAGAAAGAACAAACAGGAAUAAACCCUCAGAUACAAGUGAUACAUGAAAAUCCCCUGCGAUCUUCCAACGAACCUUCAUUUCCUUAUGGACGAAUUCCCUCGGAAAGCCACGGCCUAGAAAUUUGCCAACCAACGCAUGCCUCCAAUGAUCCGUAGACCUUUGGGCCUCAUCCUCUGAAAACGCAACAACCUCCGUAAACCUCCUUUCCGACAACGCCACCCCCUCCUCCGUUGCUUUCGAAGAAGACCAGCGAAAUCGCUAUUGUCCUUGAACAACUUGAGACCAGGACCUCCCUGGCGCUGUCUUUCCCACCGAGGAGACCAGCGGGAUCCCAGACGAAGACGAACCUUUUAACCGGAGAAGACCCACAGGGUUGAUCGCCAGAGGGGGAUGUAGAUCUCCUCCCUGGCACUGUCUGUCCCACUGACGAGAUCAAUAGGAUCUCGGAUGAAGACGAACCUUGGAUGAACCUUUGAUCCGGAGAAGAAGCCCUCUCUGAUCUAGGUGAAUCCCUUCGAAAAUAAAACGAUUUCCCCUCGAGAGAGAUAGAAAACCUAGCUUCCCUUUCUCAUUUACCACCCUACUUCCAAACGCGCACAUAGUCGCCCUUCACUCGCCGCUUAUUAUUUCAUACCUUCUCUCUCUCUCUCUCUCUCUGCAGUUAGAAUGGCGGUGGCC
rnacentral:lncRNA from 1 species